rnacentral:rRNA from 1 species
AUCCGCCUAUAUACCACCGUCGUCAGCCUACCCUGUGAAGGACUAAUAGUAGGCAAAGUUGGCACAGCCCAAAACGUCAGGUCGAGGUGUAGCGUAUGGAGGGGGAAGAAAUGGGCUACAUUCUCUAUUCAGAGAACCACGAAUGGCACACUGAAACAUGUGCCUGAAGGAGGAUUUAGCAGUAAGCAAAGAAACAGAGUGUCUUGCUGAAACCGGCCAUGAAGCGCGCACACACCGCCCGUCACUCUCCCCAAACCUAACCAACCAAUAAUUAAUACACCACCACAAACAAAGGGGAGGCAAGUCGUAACAUGGUAAGUGUACCGGAAGGUGCACUUGGAAUAAAC